rnacentral:lncRNA from 1 species
UGCACACAAAAUCAGAAGAUUGAGGAAAUUUUGACUCAAGCAAAUUAUGACCAAUGGAAUUGCUAGUAAUUUUUCUCAUCAUCCCGAUUCCGGGAUGGUCCAGGCGAUCAUGCCAGGUUUGGAAUGCGUCAACAUUCUGAAAAAUUACUUUGUAUGCAACAUGUUCCACGGGUUUGAUGUACGUAUAGUACAAACUAGACGAUAGAGAAGGAAUUUUCUC